GAGUCGGAGGCCGCGCGAGGCGAUAGGGUCGUGCGUGUUGGUGUGUGCGGGGCGCGAGGCCCGGGGGCGCGUGUGAGCGAGCGAGGGAGCGAAUGUGUGCGCGAGUGAGUGAAUGUGUGCGCGGCCGGUCCCCCCCCUACACGUUGAUCUUAUUUGAUCGGCCGGGCCCCGCGCCGGGCCGAGGUGAGAAGAGUGGCCCCGCGAAGCCCCUGGCGCUGUGCGGCGGCGGCGGGCGGGAUGAGUCGAUCAGAUAGGCGAGGCCGCGGCCGCUGAGCGCCCUGCGAUUCUGACCCGC